UUCAGCUGACCAGCAGUAUGAAAAUUUACUUCUUCUGCCAUGAAGCAACCUGUUGCCCCAGGAUAUGUUUGAAAGGAGCCGACAUCCUUGUACCACAGCAGCAUGUAGCUAACUCUAAGCUCCAAGAGGGCAGGGACUGGCUGCCCUGUUUUUCAGUCUGCAGAUCUAGAGCCUGGAAGAACUCCUGGAUCCUGGAAGGCGCUCAGCAGCACUCAGGAAGUAUGUAUUGCUGUGGAUGGCUUCUCAAUGACAGAAAGCAAACUUCCUAAGAUUUUUGUCCUUCGAGAAACUCUACAGCUUUUCCCAGAGGGGCAGUUCUGCUCUCCAGAAGACACCUGCUGUGAAGAGCCAAAAACAGCUGUGCAGGCCACAGAGGAAGCUGGCUCUCACUCAGUAAGGAACCAAACCAAAACAAGACCUCGCCUGCAGUUGGAUGGCAAAGUUCCCAGAUGGGCAGCUUGAAAUAAGGAGGUGAUGUGAGGUGUCCGAUAUAAAAGAAAAUAAA